rnacentral:rRNA from 1 species
GAAAGGAUGUGAGAUUUCUAAGACAACUAGGAUGUUGGCUUAGAAGCAGCCAUUCAUUAAAAGAGUGCGUAAUAGCUCACUAGUCGAGAGAUCUUGCGCCGAAAAUGUAACGGGGCUAAACUUACCACCGAAGCUACGGGCUUGAACUUAUGUUCAAGCGGUAGGAGAGCGUCGUAACCGGGCUGAAGUCGUACCGUAAGGAGCGGUGGACUGGUUACGAGUGAGAAUGUUGGCAUCAGUAGCGAGAUGUGGGUGAGAAUCCCACAGGCCGAAAACCUAAGGUUUCCUCAGGAAGGUUCG